rnacentral:rRNA from 1 species
AGCGAACGCUGGCGGCAGGCUUAACACAUGCAAGUCGAGCGGGCAUAGCAAUAUGUCAGCGGCAGACGGGUGAGUAACGCGGGGGAACGUACCUUUUGGUUCGGAACAACUGAGGGAAACUUCAGCUAAUACCGGAUAAGCCCUUACGGGGUAAGAUUUAUCGCCGAAAGAUCGGCCCGCGUCUGAUUAGCUAGUUGGUUAGGUAAUGGCUCACCAAGGCGACGAUCAGUAGCUGGUCUGAGAGGAUGAUCAGCCACAUGGGGACUGAGACACGGCCCGAACUCCUACGGGAGGCAGCAGUGGGGAAUAUUGGACAAUGGGCGCAAGCCUGAUCCAGCCAUGCCGCGUGAGUGUUGAAGGCCCUAGGGUUGUAAAGCUCUUUUGUGCGGGAAGAUAAUGACGGUACCGCAAGAAUAAGCCCCGGCUAACUUCGUG